rnacentral:rRNA from 1 species
UACGUAGGGUGCAAGCGUUUAUCCGGAAUUAUUGGGCGUAAAAGGAGCUCGUAGGCGGUUUUGUCGCGUCUGCUGUGAAAACUGGAGGCUCAACCUCCAGCCUGCAGUGGGUACGGGCAAACUAGAGUGCGGUAGGGGAGAUUGGAAUUCCUGGUGUAGCGGUGGAAUGCGCAGAUAUCAGGAGGAACACCGAUGGCGAAGGCAGAUCUCUGGGCCGUAACUGACGCUGAGGAGCGAAAGCAUGGGGAGCGAACAGG